AUAAGCAAAUUAAGGGCGUAUGGGGAAUGCCUUGGCUCUCAGAGGCGAUGAAGGACGUGAUAAGCUGCGAUAAGUUGCGGGGAUCAGCACAUGUGAAUUGAUCCGCAAAUUUCCGAAUGGGGCAACCCGGUAUAUUGAAGAUAUAUCAUCCGCAAGGAAGCAAACCUGGUGAACUGAAACAUCUAAGUAGCCAGAGGAAGAGAAAACAAUAGUGAUUCCGCUAGUAGUGGCGAGCGAACGCGGAAUAGCCCAAACCAAUAAUGUUACGGCAUUGUUGGGGUUGUAGGACCGUAAUAUUUGAUGUGCAAUGAAUAGGAAUCUUUGGAAAAAGAACCAAAGAGGGUGAUAGUCCUGUACUGGUAAGUUGCAUUAUUGAUAACGGUAUCCUGAGUAGUGCGGGGCACGUGAAACCUGUAUGAAUCUAGCGGGACCAUCCGCUAAGGCUAAAUACUCCUGAGAGACCGAUAGUGAACUAGUACCGUGAGGGAAAGGUGAAAAGAACCCUGAAUAAGGGAGUGAAAUAGAUCCUGAAACCAUACGCUUACAAGCGGUCGGAGCCCAUUAAUUGGGUGACGGCGUGCCUUUGCAUAAUGAGCCUACGAGUUACCGUUGUUAGCAAGGUUAAGGAUUUCAGAUCCGCAGCCGUAGCGAAAGCGAGUCUGAAUAGGGCGUGUAGUUAGCAGUGGUAGACGCGAAACCGUGUGAUCUACCCAUGGGCAGGGUGAAGCUGUAGUAACAUACAGUGGAGGCCCGAACCGGUUGACGUUGAAAAGUCUUCGGAUGACCUGUGGGUAGGGGUGAAAGGCCAAUCAAACUCGGAAAUAGCUCGUACUCCCGAAAUGCAUUUAGGUGCAGCGUUAACUAAGUUUUAUAGAGGUAGAGCUACUGAUUGGAUGCGGGGCUUCAUCGCCUACCAAUUCUGACAAACCCGAAUGCUAUAAAAUAGUGGUUAGCAGUGAGGGCAUGGGUGCUAAGGUCCAUGUCCGAAAGGGAAAGAACCCAGAUCAUCAGCUAAGGUCCCAAAAUGUAUGUUAAGUUGAAUAAACGAGGUUGUACUGCAUUGACAGCUAGGAUGUUGGCUUGGAAGCAGCCAUUCAUUUAAAGAGUGCGUAACAGCUCACUAGUCGAGCGGUACGGCAUGGAUAAUAAUCGGGCAUAAAUAUACUACCGAAGCUAUGAAUUGAAAGAGUGGUAGGGGAGCAUUCUAUAUACGUCGAAUAUGACUCGUGAGAGUUGUUGGAGUGUAUAGAAACGAAAAUGUAGGCAUAAGUAACGAUAAAGGGAGCGAGAAAAGCAGCUCCCUCACCGAAAGACCAAGGUUUCCUCAGCUAUGCUAAUCAGCUGAGGGUUAGUCGGGUCCUAACGUGGGGGACGAAAAGACCCCGUGCACCUUUACUAUAGCUUAGUAUUGGUUUUGGAUAAGUAAUGUGUAGGAUAGGUGGGAGACUUUGAAGUGGCGUCGCUAGGCGUUGUGGAGUCAUUGUUGAAAUACCACCCUUUGCUUGUCUAGAGUCUAACCUUCAAUGAAGGGACAGUGCUUGGUGGGUAGUUUGACUGGGGUGGUCGCCUCCAAAAGAGUAACGGAGGCUUCUAAAGGUACCCUCAGCACGCUUGGUAACCGUGCGUAGAGUGCAAUGGCAUAAGGGUGCUUGACUGAGAGACCUACAAGUCGAUCAGGUUGGAAACAAGAGCAUAGUGAUCCGGUGGUUCCGUAUGGAAGGGCCAUCGCUCAAAGGAUAAAAGGUACGCCGGGGAUAACAGGCUGAUCUCCCCAAGAGCUCAUAUCGACGGGGGUUUGGCACCUCGAUGUCGGCUCGUCACAUCCUGGGGCUGGAGAAGGUCCCAAGGGUUGGGCUGUUCGCCCAUUAAAGUGGCACGCGAGCUGGGUUCAGAACGUCGUGAGACAGUUCGGUCUCUAUCUACAGUGGGCGUUAGAAAUUUGAGUGGAUCUGACUCUAGUACGAGAGGACCGAGUUGGACUAACCUCUGGUGUAUCUGUUGUUCCGCCAGGAGCAUUGCAGAGUAGCUACGUUGGGAAGGGAUAAGCGCUGAAAGCAUAUAAGCGCGAAACCCACCACAAGAUGAGAUUUCUUUAAAGGGUCGUAGGAGAUGACUACGUUGAUAGGUCAUAGGUGUAAAGGCAGUAAUGUCAUAGCCAGUGAUACUAAUAACCCAUAGGCUUAUUGUACGCC
rnacentral:rRNA from 1 species